UUUUUUUAAGAUUUUAUUUAUUUAUUUCAUGUAUGUGGGAACAUUGCCACUGUCUUCAGACACACCAGAAAAGGGCAUCAGAUCCCAUUACAGAAGGUUGUGAGCUACUGUGUGAUUGCUGGGAAUUGAACUCAGGACCUCUGGAAGGGCAGCCAGUCAGUGCUCUUAACUUCGGAGCCAUCUCUCCAGCCCCUGCCUCUACAUUCUGAAUACUGGGGUGGCAGACAUGCAUCACUACACCUGGCUUCAGACUCUUAAAAAUUAUAUUUUAGAUUUUUUUAUGUGUAUGAGUACGAGCACGCAGUGCCCGAGGGGAUCAGAAAGGUCAUCAUGUCUCUUGGAACUGGAGUUACAAAUGAUUGUGAGUUGCCAUGUGGGUGCUGGGAAGCCACCCUGGGGUCUCUGAGUCAACAGCCAGUGCUCUUAACUGCUGAGCCAUCUCUCAGUUCCCUGACUUCAGAUGUUAAACCCGACCAGGAAGCCGAGGGUCUGAGCAGUCCUGGCUGGCCUCAGCUCCGUAGACUGCAGACUGGGUGACUCAGAGCUGAUCUUGGCUCUGUUCUCCGGAUGGAAUUCUCCACCUACGUCUCCUCCUGGGUGACAACAGCUCCCACAAUGCCCACUCACUGUACACAGGAGCUGGGCGGCAGUUUCCACCUUUCAUCUGCCCAUAUCACCAAGAGUAUACCAAAGGAGGUACUGCGGUGGCCUUCAGUUCAGGCAUGGAGAGAUCAGGAUAGAAGGAUUGGCUGAACUGCCCUCACAACCCCUCUCCCAGUAGGACACGGGUAACCAGGCAAGACCAGAUGGGAAUCAUGGUCUGUGAGUGGGAACGUCUCCCUCCCUAACCAGGAAGCAAACCCGUCCCAGGAAGGGGUAUGAGCAUCAGCAAGGAAUAGCCUUACUCUGAUCUCCUGUUCAAGCUUCUCUCUCUCUCCCUCUCUCCCUCUACCCGUCUCUCCCUCUCCCCCCCCCCCCCACUUCAGUGGAAAGAGAGGCCCAAGAGAGGACAAGAGCUGUGUCCAGGGACCCACGCCACUGCCUCCCCAGACUGAGCUCACUCUCAGAAAAUGGCUACAAAGAAAACCUCUAGAUGCGCAGCUCUCUCCUGGGCACCCGCUCCUAACACGCACACAAAUCAGGGACAAAGGAUGCAAGUCCUGAACGAACCUUCCUACAGCAGCCAGCCGCGGGAGCCCUCUCCGCCCCUCUUUGUGUGGGGCCAGAAGGGGAGGGAGCUGUCUGAAAGAGCCUCAGAUUUAAUGAGGGGAAGAAGGAAAAGAAAGGGGGCUGGGGAAGUGGGGGCCUCCCGGCCGGUUAUGGCCGGCCGGGUCCCCUCCCCUGUGCUGGUUGCUGCCCCAAAACAGAGCUGGCCUCCCGCCUGGUCCCCAACAGUGGCGACCAGGUGGACACACGCAACCUCCCUCAAUUUCUGGAUCUUUCCAAAUCCAAAGUUUGGCACAGGUAGUCAGUGACAACCGACACCAACCUCGCUCAAGAGCGGGAUGGGGGGGGGGGGGCUCCUGCCCACCCUUCUUACCCAACCCCCAUCUCCUUUCCAGCUCGAGCUGGAGGGAAAGGGUCCAGCGCUUGCAGGGGGGGUGCCCUAGAGUGAGCGGGCCAGACUGCGCGCCGAAAGAGGAUGCAGACGGAGCUGGUUACGACGACGUUCAGACAGACAGACAGUGCCCGAAUCCUAGAGAAGUGAACGGGACAAACACAAAAGAACAGACUAAGCCAGGCGACAGGGGCAGACAGAAUGACAGACGCUCUGCCAGAAAGACAGUAAGCUCAGCGGGGCCGGGACCCUACCAGUUACACAAAGAGUCCCGCGCCCUGGAGAGAGACGCGCCACGCAACCUGGGGGUGCUCUGAGCUGGGGAGCGCGCAAUGGCCGCGGGGCUCCCCGCACCCGCUGCCGGCCUCAGUAUCCCGGUUCUCGGAGUGACGGCGCCAAAGGCGCCCGGCCGCGCCCCACCCCUCCCCCGCGGUCACCCGAGCCGCGACACCAGCUGUCCAGCGCACCGCGGCCGAAGCGGAGCAGCUGGGGGAUGAGGAUAAGAAGGGCAUCGGUGGGGCCUCUGAAAGGCAAGUUUGGAGGAAGCAAAAAGAAGAAAGUACUUGGAGGAAGAAGGUAGAGAAAAAGUGAGCGGGGCCGCGGCAGGGACGAGGUGGGCACUCACGCAGCUGAGCAGGGAGCAGGCCCCGAGACAGGCCCCCAUGGCGGUGAGGGGCGCGGGGCUCGGGGCACCGGCCUCGGAUCCCGGAUCCGGUGGGACUCCAGGCGCUUGGCUGGCCCCACCCCAAACCCAUCCCCGCCCCAGCCCCGCCCCACCUGCCGAAGCCGCUCGUCACUUUCCGGCGACGCUCGGGGCCUCCUAGGACUCACCUGGGACAGGUACUGGCGCCAGACAUUUCCUAAAGAGGUUGAGAUGGGGAAAGUCCAGCAACGACAGGGGCACAGCCCAACUCAACUCUGAGCUAGGAUUGUCUGCUGAACCAAAGCGAGGAUUUGGAAAUACAUCUGGAUUUGAACUUCAUAGGAGCCAUUGUGUGACCGACCCCAAAUACUGUCAUUGUUAGAGGAAGUAAGAGGUGGUCUUCCCUGAUGCCCUUGGAUCUUGGCGGAAAACCUCGGCCCAAUCUAUGGGUGCUCAAUGUCACAGAUGGCAGGGUGUGUCCGGAGGCUGAGGACGGAACAGCAGCCAUGAUGACAGUCACUGUUGGCAGAGAGAGAAUGGCCUGGUGGGCUUUGUUCCCCAUUCUGAGGGCUCCAACUUCCUGUGUGGGAAGCAUCUGGAAUGAAGAUGGAUGAGGGUGGAAGAGAUGAGCCAACAGUGGAGUGCUGCCAGAUGUGAAGAGCAGGGAGGUCCUGCAGAUGUUUCCCUCGGAGACCUCAGGAGUCCGCUCUGAAUGCAGGUGAGCAGAGGUGCACAGGGCAGGGUGAUGGUUGCUCUGAGGAUGAGUGUGGCAGUGAGGAGUGCGCGUGUGGAUUUGGCAUGCUAAUAAACCAUGUGUAGUAUGUAUGCACUGAGUUUCACACGUGGUUGUGGGGGUGUUGGUGUGUGCAUGUAUGGAGCAGGAUAAUUAGUGUGCAGGAGAGAAAAUAAAAAUAAACGUUAUUGGGCUCAGUCUUUAUGUUCAUUGGGUGGAUAGGGAGAUAGAUGGAUGGAGGAAGGGAUCGGCAGGAGGUGGAUGGGUAGAUGAAUGGUUAGGGAGAUGAAGGAGAAUACAGUAGAGCAAAACUACUGUAUGACGCCUUGUGAGCUCCAGGUAGUAAGCAUGUAGAUACUUUUUCUUUCUUUUUGUUCUGUUUAUCAUAGCUGUUGGGUUUUCUAGAUAAAAUCUCACUGUGUUGUCUAUCCCAGCCUGGAACUUGUUACGUAGCCAAAGCAAGCCUUGAACUCUUGGCCUUUCUGCCUCCAUCUACCAAGUGCUGACUAUGUACCACCAUGCCCACACAGUCUGUACAAUUCUCUUAACCCUUCUGGAUGUUUGAAAGGCUUUUUAUAGUAGAAUGUAUAUUCAGGGGGCUGGUGAGAUGGUUUGGUAGAUAAAGUCACUUGCUGUCAAGCUUCACGACUGAGGUUGGACCCCCAGGACCCAAAGUGAGCACUGACUCCUGCAAUUUAUCCUCUGACAUCCACACAGACCCUGUGGCAUGCUCCCCACCCCAGACAAAUAAACAGGCCUUUCUAAAAAAUGUAUGCAUGGCAUGAGCUAUGUGCCUUCUCCAAGAGGACCAUGGACAACACAAAAAACCCAUCAGAGGGGCUGGAGAGAUGGCUCAGCGGGUAAGAGCCCUGACUGCUCUUCCAGAAGUCCUGAGUUCAAAUCCCAGCAACCACAUGGUGUCUCACAACCAUUUGCAAUGGGAUCUGAUGCCCUCUUCUGGUAUGUCUGAAGACAGCUAUGAUGUAUGCAUAUAUAUAGAAAUCCAGGCUUUGUGGAGCAGAGCUACAAUCCCAGCACUUAGCCAACAGAGGUAAGAUUGCACAGGAAGUCAAGCUGAUGCCCAGGAUUAUCUGUACACACAGUUAAGCCUGCUCCUAUUUCCCAUGAAGUCUCCCAGCCUCUAUGAAGCCAGUCCCAUUCCUUGGGUAGAGCAGAUAUACUGAGUUGAGGAAGGGCAGUCACCAGCCCCAGGGCAGCCAUAGGGGACUGAGAACUCUAUCAUCUACAGCUUGACCAAGCGGCGUCUCCUGGUGAGCAGAAGUGUGGGUGUCUGAAAGUCUCAUGCUUCCUGGAGGGAGUCAGGGCAAAAGCAGGUGCCCAGAGCUCUGGGAACAGCGACUUCUGUCACACAUUCAUUUCAUCCUGUCCUGUCCAGCAUCUUCCCUUGUCCCAAGACUUAGGUCUAAGCUUCCAGUAGGACCUCACUGUACAGAAAUCGGGGCCUGGAGAGGAUGGUGCCCCUUAGGCUGCUGCUAGCCAGGAGCAACAUGAACCCACAGCUUAGGGGCCCAGCAGAAGGAUCCCAGAUCCCUCAGACCUAGAGAGGAGGCACAGAGUGCAUUCCUGCCCAUAGUUCAUACACUGGAGCUAAGCCAGCAGGGAGAAAGAAACAGCAUGUGGCUGGAGUUCUCAUCUCAGUGUUACUAAAGGAUCCUGUUAGGGUAACCCUGGGCAGCUCCCUGCCCAUGUUUAGACUGAAGUAUCCAUCUAUCUAUAAGAAGAAUAGUUUGUAGACCAGCAAAAUGGCUCAUCAGGUAAAGGUGCUUACCACCAGGUCAACAACCUGAGUUUGAUCUCUGGGACCCACACGGUAGAAAGAGAGAUAUGACUCCCAGAAGCUAUUCUCUGGGCUCCAUACAUGCACAUAAUAGAAGAAGAAGAAGAAGAAGAAGAAGAAGAAGAAGAAGAAGAAGAAGAAGAAGAAGAAGAAGAAGAAGAAGAAGAAGAAGAAGAAGAAGAAGCAGCAGAAGAAAGAGAGACAGAAAGGAAGCAAGGAAGGAAGGAAGCAAGGAAGGAAGCAAGGAAGGAAGCAAGGAAGGAAGGAAGGAAGGAAGGAAGGAAGGAAGGAAGGAAAGACAAUUUGAGACCCAAAAAUAAGAUAGGCAUGCUUAUAAGCUAGCACUUAAGAGGCUGAGGCAGAGAAUCACUGUGAGUUCAAGGCCAGCCUAGGAUAUACAGGUGAGUUUAGUCUACAGCAUGAGCUCUUGUCAAUAAACAAAUGAAUAAAUCUUUAAGCAAAAGUGGCUGUUAUUACUAGUCACUGGCCCACCCCCAAUGCUGUGAACUCACUGGCUUCACCACAAAUCGGAUCCACCAAAAGACCAACGCAUUGCACAGCUGCUUCCCAGAUUCUUUAGGCCCACCUGUCUCUGCAGCUGCUGCAGAACAGCUGGGCAUCAAGGGCUGCUGGGAGGCUCCCUGGCCCUGGGGAUGAGAAACCCAGGCUCCCUGUAAUCAGGCCAGCCUCAGAACCAACCCGUUUCAUCAGGACAACCCAGCUUCUAGCAAAUGAUCAUUUGCACUCUCGGCCUGCCCGGCCCCAGGCUGUGACCCAGCUGGUCAAAGAACAGAGAAGAAGGCAGGUAGUUAGCCAAAGUCUUUCAUGCCAGGGAGCCCUCCUCAGGUGGGAUUCAUAGAAGAGUGCCUGGAGACACAAGCAGGAAGGACAGUCUACCUGAAGCCAAGCCCCUCCCCUCCCCAGCCCCCCCACCCAGCCCCAACUUCCCGCUCCCUGACCCCCCCACCCCAUGCCCAGGCAACAGUCAUCACAAGCUAACAGAGCUUUGUCGUGGGGAACCUGGUGGGUGUCCACACAAUGAGCUCUUUUCCAACUCAAAAAAAAAGUGGGGACUGGUGAGGUGAAUCAGUACUAGCUGUGCAAGGAUGAGGCCAGAGUUUGGAUUCCUAGGACCUACGUAAAGUCAGAUGUGGUCGUGAACAUCUGUAAUCCUACUGGGAGAUGAGAAUCAGGAACAGCAAAGUCCCUAAGAGCUCAAGAGUCAGCUUGUACAAUAGUGACAGCAACCUUGUCUCAGGCUGGAAAGCAAGAACAGGCACCCAAGAUUGUCCUCAGACCUCCACACAUGCACGCCCCCAGUGGGAUGCACACAAACUCACAAACACAUACACACUACAUACACAUUUUAAAAAGAAGGAAGCCAGGCAUGGUGGCAUGUCUUUAAUCCCUGUCCUUGGGAAGCAGAGGCGGAGCUCUGUGAGUCUGAGGCCAGCCUGCUCUACAUAGAGAGUUCCAGGACAACCACAGCCACAAAACUGAAAAAGAAGGAAAGACAGGGGCGGUGGACCGCAAUGAAAACCAACAAGCGGAGAAGGCUGUAGGAAAAAGAGGAAGCUUUCACAAUCCGAAUUAGCACAGACAUUAGGGAAGGCCGUGUAGAAGUUCCUCAAAAAGCUAAAAAUAGGACUACCAUAUGAACGCGAGGGAAGAUGCAAAGCAGGGGAAACAGGAAUGCCGUGUUAUAAUGGAAAAAAGAG